GAAUCUACGCUUACCGAGUGCUCCCAACUCGCUCUCUCCGGCCUCAUCAAUCUUUUCUUCAUUUGCAUGCCACGUGUACAAGUUUGGUGAAGAAGCACCGCGUUCUUCACUUUACACGUGGCCAUUGUGGAGAGGGAGAGAGCCAGAGAAGGUUCUGUAGUGAAAGAAUCCUGGGGCUUAGCUCAUCGCUUCAAAUUCAAUCUAAGAAAUAAGUAAAUAACCGACUAUUGUCUAUUGAUCUAUGAUGCCGGAAAUGCAUGAAUCUAUGCUUACCGAGUGCUCCCAACUCGCUCUCUCUGGCCUCAUCUCGAACACCUCUUCAGCAUUGUGGACAACGGGAUCCCAGAGACCCUAGACUUAGAUCGAGAGGUAUUUUUAUUCUUUGUUUAUCUCUGCUCAAGUUUUAGUUUUUCUUUCUUAAAUUACAAGAUACCAGAAAAUACAUCUAAUAGAUCUGAAUCACCCGGAUCGUGUUAUCAUGGCGAGAAUGCUCGGUGGUUUAAGGGGGCUGGCAUUUUUGUUAUUCUUUCUGUUUGAGUUUUGCGAUGCGGAUUCCGGUGGUAGAAAUUGCGCGAGUAACAGUUCUCUGGUUGGUUUCGAGUCAGAAUUUCUUAUGGUUCAGCACCAGUUGAGAGGGGUGAUGAAAGUGAUUAAUGAUUGUUCAUUUACGGUUAGCGAAUUCGAUAUGAUUGAGGGUGCUGAUGUACACUGGUGGGGCGCCUUAGGUGAUGCUUUUGAGAAUCUAACGACCGGAUUUGUGAUAUCUGAUCAGCCGUUGAACAGAACGUACAAAAACGAAAGCUUCGUUGUUGUUCUGAACAAUAUCACAUUGGAUCAGAUCAAAGUGGUUGCCGUCUGGGACACACCAACAGGUUCGGAUUUUGGACAUGUUCUUCUUGAAAACCCUAGGAAUGGUUCGAACCCUUCGUCGAAUUCUUCAGCAUCUAGUUCUAAUUUGGCACCAUCACCCUCUCCGUUGGCUGGGAACAGUUCUGUUGGAGGAAAGAACCGGGUUUAUGAACAACCUACCAUGUUCGAUAACUGCAAGAUUCUUGCCAAUAAUUACCGUCUUAGGUGGACGUUGGCUCCUGAGGAGAACUUGAUUGACAUUGGGCUGGAGGCAGCUCAAGAAAGCCAAUACUAUAUGGCAUUCGGUUGGGCCAACCGCACGUCUUCUUCUGAGUUUAUGCUUCAUGCUGAUGUAGCUGUGACUGGCUUUACAGAGGAAGGUAUCCCUUUUGCUGAUGAUUAUUACAUUACCAGAUACAGUGAGUGCUUAAUGAAUAAGGAUGGUAAAGUUCAGGGUGUUUGUCCUGAUACGAUCUAUGAGGGAUCUGCCCCCAUUGGAUUGGUGGACAACACCAAGUUGGUAUAUGGACACAGAAAGGACGGAGUGUCCUUCAUCCGAUAUCAACGGCCUCUCAAAUCUAUUGACACAAAGUAUGACUUAACUGUGAACUAUACGGAUAACAUGACUGUAAUAUGGGCUCUGGGGCUGAUUAGACCUCCUGAUGCUCUCCGCCCAUAUUACCUUCCCCAAAACCAUGGUGGGCCUCCUCUUGUGACUUAUGGGCACCUGGUUCUCAAUGUAUCGGAGCAUGUAAAUGAUUGCUUAGGGCCAUUAGAAGCAGAACAGAAGGAGGAUCGGGACCUUAUUUAUGCAGAUGGAAAGACCCCGCUUAUUGUUACAACAAGUCCAGCAGUGCAUUACCCAAAUCCUCCCAAUCCUUCAAAAGUUCUCUAUAUUAACAAGAAAGAGUCUCCUGUCUUGAGAGUAGAAAGAGGGGUUCCAGUAAAGUUCUCAAUACAAGCUGGACAUGACGUUGCUUUAUACAUAACUUCUGAUCCAAUUGGUGGGAAUGCAACCUCUAGAAACACACCGGAAACUAUAUAUGCUGGAGGGCCAGAAGCUGAAGGAGUUCCAGCAAGUCCAACAGAAUUGGUUUGGUCACCUGACAGGAAUACACCAGAUCAGGUUUAUUAUCAAUCAUUUUAUGAACAGAAAAUGGGUUGGAAAGUUCAGGUUGUGGAUGGGGGUCUUUCGGAUAUGUACAAUAACAGUGUUGUUCUGGAUGAUCAGCAAGUUACAUUUUUUUGGACACUGUCCGGUGAUUCAAUAUCUAUAGCAGCUCGAGGUGAGAAAAAAAGUGGUUAUCUUGCAGUAGCAUUUGGUGGUGGAAUGGUGAAUAGCUAUGCUUAUGUAGGUUGGGUUGACAAUGAUGGCAAAGGCCACGUGAACGCAUACUGGAUUGAUGGGAAGGAGGCCAUAAGUGUGCAUCCUACUAAUGAGAAUUUGACACAUGCAAGAUGCAAGUCAGAGAAUGGUAUUAUCACUUUCGAGUUUACCCGUCCCUUGCAGCCUUCGUGUGCUCUAGGUAGUAGGCCAGAGUGCAACAAUAUUAUUGACCCCACAACUCCUCUUAAGGUUGUUUGGGCUAUGGGUGCUAGGUGGUCAGAGGAUCAUUUAAGUGAGAGAAAUAUGCAUUCUAUUACAAGUAGCAGACCUGUUCGUGUGCUGCUUAUGCGUGGCUCAGCAGAGGCAGAGCAGGAUCUGCGCCCAGUUUUAGCUGUGCAUGGAUUUAUGAUGUUUGUUGCUUGGGGCAUCCUGCUUCCAGGUGGAAUAUUGGCAGCCAGGUACCUAAAACACUUAAAGGGUGAUGGAUGGUUCCAGAUUCAUGUUUACUUACAGUAUUCGGGUUUAGCAAUUGUUGUGCUUGGUGUUCUUUUUGCUGCUGCUGAACUUCGGGGUUUCUUCAUUAACUCAGUACAUGUAAAGUUUGGAGUUAUUGCUAUACUUUUGGGUUGCUUUCAGCCCGUGAAUGCAUAUCUAAGGCCAAAAAGACCUGAUAAUGGUGAAGUGGCUUCCUCCAAAAGGAUCCUUUGGGAGUAUCUCCAUGUCAUGACGGGGAGAUGUGCCAUUGUAGCUGGAAUUGCAGCACUUAUUAGUGGGAUGAAUCAUUUAGGAGACAGAUAUGGAGGUGAGACUGUUCAUGGGCUUAACUGGGCUUUAAUAAUAUGGUUCUUGAUGGGUGCAUUACUAGUUGUGUACUUGGAAAAUGGUGAAAGAAAGAGAAGAAGGGACAGAAGCUUUGGAAAAAGCAAUUGGGUAUUGGGCAAUAUCGAGGAGGAUGACUCUACUGAUCUUCUGCACUCAAAUGGAACACAAGGGCUGCAUUCCUCUCAACAAAUGGAAGUUCAGUUAGAACCUCUGAACAGAUAGAUGUGUGCAAGGAGUUAGGCAGAUCAAAGAAUUUUUGUUAGUGAAGAGAUCUUUGUCAAGAACAAAUGGGACUAUUAUAUCUUGGAGCUUGGUUCACAAAGAAUUUUUUGGAUUGGGACAUAACUCGGUUUUGGUUUUUGAAAAUUUGUAUACAAAUAGGUUAUACUUGUAUAUCCCUUUGUACACGGGCUUUUGAAUCAUAUUAAUGAAUAUACCAUACCUUCUGACAAAAAGGGAGGAAAGGCUGAGCUUUUGGUCUGAUCCUGAUACUGAAUUAAAUCUGGGUAGAGACACUGGUAUUAGUGUUUUUUCGAAUGGGAAUAAAUUGGACUAGGAUCAUGUUUGAUGUGCCAAUAAAUGGUCUCAAAGAAACUGUAAGUUUGUUUUUUACUUUGCUUUAUUAAAUGCUUGGUAUGUGCCAUUUAUGGAAUUUGGGUUCUAGAAAAAUGAUGAUAUUGUACUUUCACAUGGAUUACCCCCCAGUCAAUUAUAUUUGGUUUGAAAGAAAAUAAUAAAGAAAUAGAAAGGCGAGUGUUGGAAGCUAGCUAAACAGAUGGGGUACAGGCACAUUGAAGUUGAAGGGGACUCAAAAGUAGUCAUUUCCUGGGUUACAAACAGCAGCCAUACCCAAUGGACGUUUAAACAUGUGAUUAGGGAAGUGGAAAAGAUUGCAAAGGAGGUAGAGGCUUAAGUCAAAUGGGCUCAAAGGAGUGCAAACGGGUUAGCUGAUUAUGUAGCAAAACAAGGGGCAUUGAGACAGCAACUGUUUUGGGCUGCACUGUAAUGAGGGACAGAAAAGAGGGUUCAAAUGGGAUCAUCACUCCCAUCACUAAGUUGUAUAAACUUUUUCUAAUCUGAGAGUUAAAUAAAAUUCAUGCUCACUGAGAAAAAAAAA